UCAUUCUAGAUACACUUUCCAGUACAUCUACUAUGUUACGACUUAUCUUACCUUAAUAAUAAGAGCGACGGGCGAUGUGUACAUAUUUUAGAGCUAUAAUCAAACUAUUAAUCUUUAUAAUUUUACAAUCAAAUCCACCUUCAAAAACUUUUUCAUAGUUUUAUUCGUUUAAAUAUAUUUAUUGUAACCCAUUAUUACUUAAAUAUAAGCUACACCUUGAUCUGAUAUAAAUUUUAAUAAAAAUUAUUGAAUAUUAUUAUUCUUAUAAAAUAUUCUGAUAACGACGGUAUAUAAACUGAUUACAAAUUUAAGUAAGGUCCAUCGUGGAUUAUCGAUUACAAAACAGGUUCCUCUGAAUAGACUAAAAUACCGCCAAAUUUUUUAAGUUUCAAGAACAUAACUGUUACUACUUAAGUAUU
rnacentral:rRNA from 1 species